CGUGUAAAAACAAAUUAUUCAACAUCAUUUGAACAGGAUUUGCCAUUUUUUGAGCAAAUUUGAUCAGGAUUUGCCUGACCAUUGACCAAGGAAGCACUCGAGUCCAAACCAGAGAGCAUUGUUAGUAGUAGCAUAAUUACCCUCGCAUAUACAAUCUUGGCCGUGACUUCACCUCACCCGAUCCACUAAGCUUGAGCGAUGAGCACCUCCAGAGAAGAGAGCUCAAAGUCCAAGCGCACAGCACAACUAGAAUCGAGCUCCAACUGCCGGAACCGGCUGACGCACGACGGCAUGACUCCACGAACACGAAAAGGCACCAACGGAAACCCGCGCCCGCUGUAGCUUGAUCCUUAAGCUUGGAAUCCCGACCGCCAUGCCUUGCCAUGUGGUGACGACGACGACGGCUCGCCAAAGGUUCGGUUCCCUCUCCCACGAUGCUCGACGAGCCUCCCUUUCCGGUCCCGAGUGGGGGGCAAAGCAAAAGCCUCCGCGCUUUGCAGCCGAAUCAGGAAUCCGUCGUCGUCGUGCCGCCAGGGCCAAGCCAACGGGCGAUAUGAUCGCCGGGUCCGCAGCUUUGCCGCCCGCGCCCGGGAGGACCAGAUCGCCCUGUCGCCGCCCGCCUGCCGUCUCUCUCCAAGAGAAAGCGACGCGAAUAGCAUCCGAUCUUCCGCGGCGCGCCCAAGAUCUCCCCUGCGGGCUGUCGCGUCCGGCCCUCGGCGGCGCCCCUUCUCCAGUUCUCCUGUUCGCUGCUGCUGCUGCUGCUGGGUGUAUUAGUAGCCAGCCACGCGCAGUCGAGUUGAUGAGCGUCUCGCGUCCAGCGCUUCAUGGCUGUCGAGGGGAAUGACGUCCGGUCCGAAGACGCUUGCGGCGGCGAGCCGGCGAGGCACCACGCGGCUUCGGACCAGGCUUCAUUCCCCAUGACUCAUGGAAUGGCAGCGAUCCCGCGAGCUUUGUCGUCGUGAGCUCAUCAGACGCCCGGGCCUCUGCGACGAACACGAGCGUACUCUCUCUCACCUGAGCCGACAUCGGCAAAAAAAAAAAAGAGCAUUGCGGCCGCUAGAGGCGUGACCUGCCCUGCAAGCAGGCUGCAACUGAAGGUUUGCCAGAUGCUGCAUGGCUUUAUUAAAUGUUAAAUUUGGGUUUACCAGGACCAGGAAAAAGAAGGCACUAGCAGCGAUAUUCAGUAUUCACUUCAUCUGCCUGAUUUUCAAGCUGAUUCGGCAGCUGCUCAACAUGGAAAGCAACAAAGAGUCGGUCCAGACUUCAGACCCAGGGUUCCAAAUCCGUGCAAGAACAAAAGCACAAGUCGUGCUGUAAAUAGAUUAUAGAUCCCAGGUACCUGAGCAAUGGAAUAAUCACAUUACGAGGAACCGAAAAGAAAAAUAUACCGACGAAGAAUGUCUUCUGUUUCAUCUGGUUCUAACCUGGAGUCUGCAAUGAACACUGAAGCUGCACUGGAGAGCUACUCUGUUACUGAAGAUGAGAUAAUCAGGCUAGAUCAGUGAUAUAUGCUUCUUGUACUUGAUUUCGAGCAGAUGCUGCAACCUGCAGCCGCUGGCUCAACAUAGAACAAAACACCACUAGUUUCAUCCCUGCUAUAAGUAAUAAAGAAGAGAAAGGUUCCACAUCAUUAUAUCAA